GAUGAACGCUGACAGAAUGCUUAACACAUGCAAGUCGAUGGGGAAGUGGUGCUUGCACCAUGGCAACCAUGGCGGACGGGUGAGUAACGCGUAAGGGACUUACCUGCAGGACUGGGAUAACAGGGGGAAACUCCUGACAAGACCGGAUAAUGUCAUGGAGCUGCAUGGCUUUAUGAUGAAAGGAGACGCCUGCGGAGAGCCUUGCGUCCUAUUAGCUAGUUGGUGAGGUAAUGGCUCACCGAGGCGAAGAUAGGUAGCCGGCCUGAGAGGGUGGACGGCCACAAGGGGACUGAGAUACGGCCCUUACUCCUACGGGAGGCAGCAGUGGGGAAUAUUGGACAAUGGGGGCAACCCUGAUCCAGCAAUUCUGUGUGCACGAAGAAGGUUUUCGGAUUGUAAAGUGCUUUCAGCAGGGAAGAAGUAAGUGACGGUACCUGCAGAAGAAGCGACGGCUAAAUACGUG
rnacentral:rRNA from 1 species